CUAUGGAGGUCUACUAAGACACCUUCAAUAUGUAAAUAGUCCUCAUUAUGUUGGGUGAAAAUACAUGCCCCUUUAAGUGGUGACACUUAUCGAAUAACCCCUCUAAUUGCUGGGAACCCUCUUUGAGGCAAUCAGCAGCCAAGCCCAGCAGGGAAGGUUCAACGACUAUUCCGACAGGAAGUACACUCAAGUGAGUGGAAACGGGGGGCAUCUCGCAGAGAUGAUGAUAUAGUCUGAUCUACAUGGUGACAUGUAG
rnacentral:ncRNA from 1 species